rnacentral:rRNA from 1 species
GAACCGUCCUAACGUUAUUCGGAAUCACUGGGCUUAAAGGGCGCGUAGGCGGCUUAUCAAGUCCGGGGUGAAAGCCUCCAGCUCAACUGGAAGAAGUGCCUUGGAUACUGGUAGGCUUGAGGGAGGUAGGGGCAACUGGAACUUCCGGUGGAGCGGUGAAAUGCGUUGAUAUCGGAAGGAACGCCGGUGGCGAAAGCGAGUUGCUGGAUCUCUUCUGACGCUGAGGCGCGAAAGCUAGGGGAGCAAACGGGAUUAGAUACCCCGGUAGUCCUAGCCCUAAACGAUGGGUACUAGAUUGUGGGCUUAGCAUGGGUUCACAGUCGAAGCAAAAGUGUUAAGUACCCCGCCUGGGGAGUAUGGUCGCAAGGCUG